rnacentral:rRNA from 1 species
UACGAAGGGGGCUAGCGUUGCUCGGAAUUACUGGGCGUAAAGGGUGCGUAGGCGGGUCUUUAAGUCAGAGGGGAAAUCCUGGAGCUCAACUCCAGAACUGCCUUUGAUACUGAGGAUCUUGAGUUCGGGAGAGGUGAGUGGAACUGCGAGUGUAGAGGUGAAAUUCGUAGAUAUUCGCAAGAACACCAGUGGCGAAGGCGGCUCACUGGCCCGAUACUGACGCUGAGGCACGAAAGCGUGGGGAGCAAACAGG